rnacentral:rRNA from 1 species
AGUGAACGCUGGCGGUAGGCCUAACACAUGCAAGUCGAACGGCAGCUCAGUAAGAGCUUGCUCUUACGGGUGGCGAGUGGCGGACGGGUGAGGAAUACAUCGGAAUCUACUUUUUCGUGGGGGAUAACGUAGGGAAACUUACGCUAAUACCGCAUACGACCUACGGGUGAAAGCAGGGGAUCUUCGGACCUUGCGCGAUUGAAUGAGCCGAUGUCGGAUUAGCUAGUUGGCGGGGUAAAGGCCCGCCAAGGCGACGAUCCGUAGCUGGUCUGAGAGGAUGAUCAGCCACACUGGAACUGAGACACGGUCCAGACUCCUACGGGAGGCAGCAGUGGGGAAUAUUGGACAAUGGGCGCAAGCCUGAUCCAGCCAUACCGCGUGGGUGAAGAAGGCCUUCGGGUUGUAAAGCCCUUUUGUUGGGAAAGAAAAGCAGCAGGUUAAUACCCCGCUGUUCUGACGGUACCCAAAGAAUAAGCACCGGCUAACUUCGUG